rnacentral:misc_RNA from 1 species
UGGUUCUGGCAUCGAUGAAGAACGCAGCGAAAUGCGAUAAGUAAUGUGAAUUGCAGAAUUCAGUGAAUCAUCGAAUCUUUGAACGCACAUUGCGCCCAUUAGUAUUCUAGUGGGCAUGCCUGUUCGAGCGUCAUUUCAACCCUUAAGCCCUCGUUGCUUAGUGUUGGGAGCCUACGGCACCGUAGCUCCCCAAAGUCAGUGGCGGAGUCGGCUCACACUCUAGACGUAGUAAUUUCUCACCUCGCCUAUAGUUGGACCGGUCCCCUGCCGUAAAACGCCCAAGUCUUUAAAAGGUUGACCUCGGAUCAGGUAGGAAUACCCGCUGA